rnacentral:rRNA from 1 species
GAUGAACGCUAGCGGGAGGCCUAACACAUGCAAGUCGAACGGGAUUGAUAGCAAUAUCAUGAGAGUGGCGCACGGGUGAGUAACGCGUAUGCAACCUACCUUUAACAGAGGGAUAGCCCAUAGAAAUGUGGAUUAAUACCUCAUAGUCCUGAUUGACCGCAUGGUUUGAUCAGGUAAAGCCACCAGGCGGUUAAAGAUGGGCAUGCGUGACAUUAGCUAGUUGGUAAGGUAACGGCUUACCAAGGCUACGAUGUCUAGGGGUUCUGAGAGGAUGAUCCCCCACACUGGUACUGAGACACGGACCAGACUCCUACGGGAGGCAGCAGUGAGGAAUAUUGGACAAUGGGCGAAAGCCUGAUCCAGCCAUGCCGCGUGUGUGAAGAAGGUCUUAGGAUCGUAAAGCACUUUAAGUUGGGAGGAAGAGCAGUAACCUAAUACGUUAUUGUUUUGACGUUACCGACAGAAUAAGCACCGGCUAACUCUGUG